CGCCGCGACUAUAUCACAUUGGACACGUCUGAUCACCGAAGUUAAGCAACAUCGAGCUCGGUUAGUGCAGGCAAGGGUGACCGACCGGGAAUACCAGGCGUUGCGGCCA
rnacentral:rRNA from 1 species